rnacentral:rRNA from 1 species
UACGUAGGGGGCAAGCGUUGUCCGGAUUUAUUGGGCGUAAAGAGCGUGUAGGCGGUUAGGUAGGUCCGUUGUGAAAACUCGAGGCUCAACCUCGAGACGCCGAUGGAAACCAUCUGACUAGAGUCCGGAAGAGGAGAGUGGAAUUCCCGGUGUAGCGGUGAAAUGCGCAGAUAUCAGGAAGAACACCCGUGGCGAAGGCGGCUCUCUGGGACGGUACUGACGCUGAGACGCGAAAGCGUGGGGAGCGAACAGG